GACAGAGGAGCCAAGCGUUGUCCGGAUUGACUGGGCGUAAAGCGCACGCAGGCGGCCCGGCGCGUGGGGUGUGAAAGCUGGCGGCUUAACUGCCAGACGCCAUCCCAUACGGCUGGGCUCGAGCCCUGCAGACGGUCCAUGGAAUUGCCGGUGUAGUGGUGAAAUGCGUAGAGAUCGGCAGGAACACCCAGGGGGAAACCAGUGGACUGG
rnacentral:rRNA from 1 species